rnacentral:rRNA from 1 species
CAUGCAAGUCGAGCGGUAACAGAGAGUAGCUUGCUACUUUGCUGACGAGCGGCGGACGGGUGAGUAAUGCUUGGGAACAUGCCUUGAGGUGGGGGACAACAGUUGGAAACGACUGCUAAUACCGCAUAAUGUCUACGGACCAAAGGGGGCUUCGGCUCUCGCCUUUAGAUUGGCCCAAGUGGGAUUAGCUAGUUGGUGAGGUAAUGGCUCACCAAGGCGACGAUCCCUAGCUGGUUUGAGAGGAUGAUCAGCCACACUGGGACUGAGACACGGCCCAGACUCCUACGGGAGGCAGCAGUGGGGAAUAUUGCACAAUGGGCGCAAGCCUGAUGCAGCCAUGCCGCGUGUGUGAAGAAGGCCUUCGGGUUGUAAAGCACUUUCAGUCAGGAGGAAAGGUUAGUAGUUAAUACCUGCUAGCUGUGACGUUACUGACAGAAGAAGCACCGGCUAACUCCGUGCCAGCAGCCGCGGUAAUACGGAGGGUGCGAGCGUUAAUCGGAAUUACUGGGCGUAAAGCGUACGCAGGCGGUUUGUUAAGCGAGAUGUGAAAGCCCCGGGCUCAACCUGGGAACUGCAUUUCGAACUGGCAAACUAGAGUGUGAUCGAGGGUGGUAGAAUUUCAGGUGUAGCGGUGAAAUGCGUAGAGAUCUGAAGGAAUACCGAUGGCGAAGGCAGCCACCUGGGUCAACACUGACGCUCAUGUACGAAAGCGUGGGGAGCAAACAGGAUUAGAUACCCUGGUAGUCCACGCCGUAAACGAUGUCUACUAGAAGCUCGGAACCUCGGUUCUGUUUUUCAAAGCUAACGCAUUAAGUAGACCGCCUGGGGAGUACGGCCGCAAGGUUAAAACUCAAAUGAAUUGACGGGGGCCCGCACAAGCGGUGGAGCAUGUGUUUAAUUCGAUGCAACGCGAAAACCUUACCUACACUUGACAUACAGAGAACUUACCAGAGAUGGUUUGGUGCCUUCGGGUACUCUGAUACAGGUGCUGCAUGCUGUCGUCAGCUCGUGUUGUGAGAUGUUGGGUUAGUCCCGCACGAGCGCAACCCCUAUCUUAGUUGCUAGCAGGUAAUGCUGAAAACUCUAAGAGACUGCCGUGAUAAACCGAAGAGUGGACGACGUCAAGUCAUCAUGGGCCUAGUGAAGGGCUAUCACACGUG